UGAAGCAGGAAGUCCUCUUUCUCUGUGGAAGAACAACGAAGGAGGACGCAUGGAGGUUGUAUGAGCUCGCACCAAUAUUAUUAUUAUUUGCAACAACUUGUUGAGUUCCCCGUUCAGGCAACCGCGUUCAUGGACUUGAAGGGUGUAAAAGGAUCCAGACACGGAUGCAUCCUUUGUUGUACUGGAGUUUUUCUUUUGGGGACAGAUGGUGCUGGCUAUGCCAGUAGUGUACUGAGAUUUGAUUGGCUGGCAGGGUACUGAAGACUCAAUAACAGAUCUACACCAGGGGUGUCACUCAUUCCAUAGAGAGCCUAGUGUCUGUGGGUUUGGGGUUUUCCUUUCAGUUAAGGCUUAUACAACCAGGUGAUGGAGUGACCUUAACUCGUCAAUCAAGUACAGGGAGCAGUGAACCUGCAUACACUCUGCCCUUCGUGCAAUGAGAGACACGCAAUCUACAUCUUGUUUUUGAGUUAAUGGGCCAGGAUGUAUAUUGAAGACUGACGUAGAUCUUGCCCUGUGAUUGGGUUUGAUGAUCCAGUAUGUGGAAUAUGAAGACUUAAAUCUCAACCCUAUGGUGAGUGAGGGCUAAAUAGCCAAUUGGUUUCCUUCAGUCUUCUACUGGAGUUGUGAUGACUUCUCACUUUUGCUGUUUACUGAUCUGACUAAAUUGGGAUGCUGUGACUAACUGAACUGCCAAUAUUAGCAUUGAUCAUUACAGGUAGACGCAGCAGCGAUUAUGGUAAAGGGGAUAGUGGGUCAAUUUCCAUAAGUGUUGAAGCGUGUGCAUCUUGCUUAGCUCAAUAUCUGCAGUGCACCUCGUGGCAGGGACAUUUUGCAGGGUCUACCUUCAAUCAUUAAACCUGCAAUCCCUGACUAAGGUUUGAGACUCUUAUUUCAUCAUGUUAGGCCUGCAGUAGGGGAGUUAUUUCCUGGGUUGAGGUGUCAACUAAGUUUUUCUACCUGUGUUCAUUCAUUUUUAAAUGGAAUUGAUGCCUUUUCUGACAUUUCUGCUAAUUUACCCUGCUGAAAAGCCAUUCAUUUGAAUUACCAGCAUUGCAACUACACCCACAAUGGUAGAAAGUUGUAGGUUGAUGGCUAAUCUCAUUAGACAAUGGUCAUUUAACUGAUUUCUUCUAUUCAUUGACAAUUCACAAGGUUUGGAAAGCAGUGCAUGACCUCCUUCACAAAUGUGACCCUGGAGACCUAAACUAUCACCAUAUUUUCAACAUUCUUGCCUGUCAAAAGCACAACCUUGGUCUGACUCACCUGCUCAAGGUUAAAUGUUUUCUUUUUCUGCCCUGUUAUGAAAUAAAAUAUUUUAUGGUACAUUAA